AGCCCCCGGCUCACCCGCGGAGGGUCACUUGGAAACUGGGGGACUUGAGUGCAGAAGAGGAGAAGUGGAAUUUCAAGUGUAGCGGUGAGAUGCGUAGAGAUAUGGAGGAACACCAGUGGCGAAGGCGACUUUCUGGUCUGUAACUGACGCUGAGGCGCGAAAGCGUGGGGAGCAAACAGGAUUAGAUACCCUGGUAGUCCACGCCGUAUACGAUGAGUG
rnacentral:rRNA from 1 species